AAGUCGUAACAAGGUCUCCGUUGGUGAACCAGCGGAGGGAUCAUUAAAGAGUUGCAAAACUCCCACAAACCAUCGCGAACGUUACCCAGACGUCGUUGCUUCGGCGGGCUCGCCCGCCGGGGGGACGCUACCAGACUCUUGCAGUUCUUCGGCCUCUCUGAGUACGAUUUUUAAAUAAGUCAAAACUUUCAACAACGGAUCUCUUGGUUCUG
rnacentral:misc_RNA from 1 species